rnacentral:lncRNA from 1 species
AGAACAACAACAACAACAACAACAACAACAAGAACAACAACAACAACAACAAAAACAACAACAACGACGACACCAACAACAACAACAACAACAACAACAACAACAACAACAACAACAACAACAAGAACAACAACAAACGACGACAACGCCGACGACCACGACGCCAACGACGACAUCAACGACAAUGACGAGAACAACGAUAACAACGACAACAGCGAC